rnacentral:rRNA from 1 species
GGGCCCGCACAAGCGGUGGAGCAUGUGGUUUAAUUCGAUGAUACGCGAGGAACCUUACCAGGGCUUAAAUGUAGUCUGACAGGGGUGGAAACAUCCCCUCCUUCGGGCAGAUUACAAGGUGCUGCAUGGUUGUCGUCAGCUCGUGCCGUGAGGUGUCAGGUUAAGUCCUAUAACGAGCGCAACCCCUGCCGUUAGUUGCCAGCAUGUAAUGAUGGGAACUCUAACGGGACUGCCGGUGCAAACCGCGAGGAAGGUGGGGAUGACGUCAAGUCCUCAUGGCCCUUACGGGUUGGGCUACACACGUGCUACAAUGGCAGUGACAAUGGGUUAAUCCCAAAAAGCUGUCU